CCCAGUGGGUCAACACAGUAUACGGUCUGGGCUGAACCCAGUGGGUCAGUCUACGGUCUGGGCUGAACCCAGUGGGUCAGUCUACGGUCUGGGCUGAACCCAGUGGGUCAGUCUACGGUCUGGGCUGAACCCAGUGGCACAGUUUACGGUCUGGGCUGAACCCAGUGGGUCAGUCUACGGUCUGGGCUGAACCCAGUGGGUCAACACAGUCUACGGUCUGGGCUGAACCCAGUGGGUCAGUCUACGGUCUGGGCUGAACCCAGUGGGUCAGUCUACGGUCUGGGCUGAACCCAGUGGGUCAGUCUACGGUCUGGGCUGAACCCAGUGGGUCAGUUUACGGUCUGGGCUGAACCCAGUGGGUCAACACAUCUCUCUUGCAGCGAGUUCUUCCAUCUCUAGGAUGUCAGGUGUACUCCUCUGUGUAUCAACGGUGUUUUAGUCACUGGACUCUAAUAGUUUGGUCUUUGAUGCGUUCGCCCUACCUUAUUUAAUCCCUCCAAAGUGGCUGACAGUUUGACUGUCAUGAAUACUACUUCCCAAUAAUGUAUUUUGAGCAAUAAUCAAGACAAUGUAAUAUUUAAAUUAUUUCCUUGACAAUAUUGACAUGCUGACCACAUAAAUUAAACUUUUAUUUGCACUUACUUUGACAAUGGAGGACUGUAACCUUUUCAUCAGAUAACUUUUUCUAGCCAGACUUGCGUCUACUAAUAUAAUUCCUUUUUUUCAACGGUUUGACAACAUUUCUGAUGUUGUAUCAAAAGUGAUUAGAGUAAUAACUACCUUACUAACUAGAUUGCUAAAGUGAUAAGCGAAAAUAUCUUUCAUGUAAAGUGACUGCACCUCUCUCUUCAUUUUUAGGGGCAGUUCCAAGUUCUUCCGAUGCCAGUUCUCGUUAAUUUGGGGACUUCAGCAUCUUAAACAGUGACAUGCCUUUUUAACGCCAGUGGCUUUUAAAAUGCUCCCUUGAAAGCAAAUUUAUCACGAUAGUGUUCUGCAGUGGCUAUAAGACAGGUCCAAUUGAAAUUCAAGAUUUAUAUUUCUUCUGGGUGUAAAAGCUUUUGGACUUUUUAAAUAUCAAAUCGAAAGGUUUAUACAUUUGUGGAAUUCUCAUUGCACUGUGAAUGAAAACCCACUAACCCUACCCACUAACUCUUAGAGAGGUUCAUGUUAUUACUAUAACAAUAACCUAACUUAACCUUAACUUAAAACAUUGAUCAUUGGGUACCCUUAUCCUUCUAUAAAUGGAUGUCAACUGUGGUCAUUGAGGUGUACUUGUGUACAUCAGCAUUGUAUCAACUUUAGGUGGUACAUGUUGGAAUAAAUAAUACCUAUCGUAUGUAGCUCAGCAGCGUUCCCUGGUGCCUGCGGACUGCGGCGGUGGGCGGAGAUGGCACCGAGCCACGGAGCCGUCUCUCCUUUAAUGGCAUCGCUCCCCGGUCGGGACACAGCCUAAGUUAUUCCUUCUUCACGAGGAAUGUUUUAUCCGGAGCGCUCCUAUAAACUGCCGUCUUGUUAGGUUCUGUUGAGUUGCGCAUUACAAUACGGUGGUCCUGUUGAGGCAUCUGAGAACAGCAGUACUGGGGCGGAAAUGUAUUCCUCCAUCCAGAUAAUUGACCCUUAACAGAAGAGCUGGGAUUUUUAUUUUUUAUUUUUAAUAAUGUGCUCGGCUUGAGAAACGAAGGGGUCUAGGGUUUUGAUUGCCUUAUCCACCUAAAACAACAUGUUCUCCUUACUCUAUUGGAUUCUGGGGAGCGUUAAAUAAUGAUCCAGCAGCUGAGACUGCUGCAUGCAGAACGUCUCCCUGACGGCCCUGCUGGGAUCUGAUGUUACAGAGAGCUCACCAGCUCUCCUGCAUUUGUACAGAUGAUUCGUUUAAAAAAACGAGAAAUCUUUAUCUUCAGGGGCUUGCAUUGUUUUUCAGAGUUUAUUUAUAUAAACCUUUUUGGUUUGCAUUUUCUUUUCUAUUUUUUGUUCCUGUGGUUUGUAACUGUCAGCACUGUAGUGUACAUAAUAUUUUUUGUAAACAGGAAAAACUUAGUAAUGUGAUUUAUACUUUAAAUAUAUGAGCCUAGUUAAUAAAAGGUUCCAAUAUG
ensembl:lncRNA